UCAUAUAAUAAUGACAAUUCAAUGAUACAAUUAUUGAUUUUUCAUUAUAUAACAAAAUUCCAUAUAUAAAUUCUCUUGAAUACAUUUUGAAGCUUAAUAAUACAGUCGAACCUCUAUUCUUUGAAAACAAAAUUUGUUUGCCAAAAAACUCGAUUUUUGUCUUGAAACGCUUGAAAAUAAACAACACUUAUAAUCUAUUUACAUUUCAGUAUGAUAUAUUUGUGAAAAGUGUGAAUUCAUAAAUUUUCAAGCGUUCAUUUUGACAUAAAAUCCCAAUUUUCCCUUUUAUCAAUUUUUUCAUUGAUCGAAGCUACCUCGGUAUUUCGAAAACCUUAAUUUUUCGAAAGGAUUUCGGUCCCUUAUAAUUUGAAAAAUUGAGGUUCAACUGUAUAUAUAAUAUCAAACAAUAAAGCAACAUGAAUAAUUCGACCGAAUGUUUAACAUAGCACAACAACAAACUAAUUUUUUUGCUAUCUUGAUGUCUUUUAAGACCGUUAAACAACACAAUGUUUCGGACUUGAAUGGAUGCUUUUUGGUGUAUUCACAGUGUAGUAGGAAUAAUUUGCAUUUUCUUUUGAUUAAACUGCAUUGUGUUGGAAUUUUUUUUAUUAUUGUUGAUGAAAAUGUUUUUAGAAUAUGUUGAUUUUAAGUUUCGUUCGUGGUUGUUUUUUUUCUGUUGUUUAUAGUGCAAGUUUCGUUAACACAUACACUCAAUGUUGAUGUAUUCCGUUUGUGUGACGCUUUAACAUUUCCUGUUGGCGUUUGUUUUAUUCAUUGCUAAACUAUAACUUCUGUUAUCAACAAAAUAUUGUCUGCAUUAUUGAUAAUUUGUGCGUGUAUAGUUUUUUUCAAUUCAAUUUUAAGACAUCAAUUAAAGGAAUACGAUCCAUAGUAUUUUCGGGACGAAGAGAACCUGUUCUAUCGUAAAAAUCCGAUCUUUCGAUUUCAUCUACAAAUAAGUGAAAACAUCUAACAAAACAAAGAAGUUGCGAAGAAGAAGAAGAGGGAGUUAAAUCAAAAAAGACCACACAUUAAUAACCUGAUGAUAAUCAUACACUAUCGACAAACCAUACAAACUAUUAUAGUUCGUUAUCAUAAAAUAUACAAAAACAGAAUGUGUGCAAACUAUUUUUCACUGAGCAAAUGCCAACAGAAUUUCAUUUUAUUUUACACGAAGAACAAAAAAACUAAUUCUUAGAAAAUAUAUAUAUGAUCAUAUAAAAACAUUGAAGACAGAAUCAAAUCAUCAGUCAUAAAAUAUGUAAUUAAUAAGGGAAAAUUCACUUAGACACAAAAUCAUCUAUAGCUGUCAAUUUGAAUGCGUGGAAAUAAAGAUGAAGGGCGAAGAGAUGCAUUAAAAAAAUAUGAAGACUGAAGAGUGAA